rnacentral:rRNA from 1 species
CAGCAGCCACGGGAAUACGAAGGGUGCAAGCGUUACUCGGAAUUACUGGGCGUAAAGCGUGCGUAGGUGGUGGUUUAAGUCCGUUGUGAAAGCCCUGGGCUCAACCUGGGAAUUGCAGUGGAUACUGGGUCACUAGAGUGUGGUAGAGGAUAGUGGAAUUUCCGGUGUAGCAGUGAAAUGCGUAGAGAUCGGAAGGAACAUCUGUGGCGAAGGCGACUAUCUGGGCCAACACUGACACUGAGGCACGAAAGCGUGGGGAGCAAACAGGAUUAGAUACCCCUGUAGUCCCUGUCCCUUAUAC